rnacentral:rRNA from 1 species
AGUCGAGCGAACGGACGAGAAGCUUGCUUCUCUGAUGUUAGCGGCGGACGGGUGAGUAACACGUGGAUAACCUACCUAUAAGACUGGGAUAACUUCGGGAAACCGGAGCUAAUACCGGAUAAUAUUUUGAACCGCAUGGUUCAAAAGUGAAAGACGGUCUUGCUGUCACUUAUAGAUGGAUCCGCGCUGCAUUAGCUAGUUGGUAAGGUAACGGCUUACCAAGGCAACGAUGCAUAGCCGACCUGAGAGGGUGAUCGGCCACACUGGAACUGAGACACGGUCCAGACUCCUACGGGAGGCAGCAGUAGGGAAUCUUCCGCAAUGGGCGAAAGCCUGACGGAGCAACGCCGCGUGAGUGAUGAAAGUCUUCGGAUCGUGACAACUCUGUUAUUAGGGAAGAACAUAUGUGUAAGUAACUGUGCACAUCUUGACGGUACCUAAUCAGAAAGCCACGGCUAACUACGUGCCAGCAGCCGCGGUAAUACGUAGGUGGCAAGCGUUAUCCGGAAUUAUUGGGCGUAAAGCGCGCGUAGGCGGUUUUUUAAGUCUGAUGUGAAAGCCCACGGCUCAACCGUGGAGGGUCAUUGGAAACUGGAAAACUUGAGUGCAGUAGAGGAAAGUGGAAUUCCAUGUGUAGCGGUGAAAUGCGCAGAGAUAUGGAGGAACACCAGUGGCGAAGGCGACUUUCUGGUCUGUAACUGACGCUGAUGUGCGAAAGCGUGGGGAUCAAACAGGAUUA